GACGAACGCUGGCGGCGUGCUUAACACAUGCGAGUCGAACGGAAAGGCCCUGCUUUUGUGGGGUGCUCGAGUGGCGAACGGGUGAGUAACACGUGAGUAACCUGCCCUUGACGUUGGGAUAACUUCAGGAAACUGGGGCUAAUACCGGAUAGGAGCUCCUGCUGCAUGGUGGGGGUUGGAAAGUUUCGGCGGUUGGGGAUGGACUCGCGGCUUAUCAGCUUGUUGGUGGGGUAGUGGCUUACCAAGGCUUUGACGGGUAGCCGGCCUGAGAGGGUGACCGGCCACAUGGGGACUGAGAUACGGCCCAGACUCCUACGGGGGGCAGCAGUGGGGAAUAUUGCACAAUGGGCGGAAGCCUGAUGCAGCAACGCCGCGUGCGGGAUGACGGCCUUCGGGUUGUAAACCGCUUUCGCCUGUGACGAAGCGUGAGUGACGGUAAUGGGUAAAGAAGCACCGGCUAACUACGUG
rnacentral:rRNA from 1 species